AAGACUAUAGACCUGCGGAGUACCUGCGGAGGGAUCAUUAACGUAUCUAUGAUGGGGUGCGGAGCGCCCUGCUCCGGUCGAACGGCCGUGCAGCGGGUGCGCCGCCCCCGUCCCACCUCACAAACCCACUGUGAACAUUCACCGGUGGAGGGGGCUCGGUCUGCGCCGUGUCCCCGAUGCCGAAUACCCAAACUCCAGUUGCAGAGAACGUCGUGCGGACUCGGUGCCGCCUAAAACAUG
rnacentral:misc_RNA from 1 species